UUAACCUAAACCCUAAAUCCAGCCGCACUCACAGCCGUACUCCCUCGGUUCCUCUUCCUCACUCCUCAGUUCCUCUCUCUCACAAGGACCCCCCAAAUCCCUGGCUUCGUUCUCCUCCGAUCCUCUAAUGGCGCUCCGUUCUCCUCCGAUCCUCUAAUGGUGGUCGCUUCCUUGGACGAGAAUACGGCCGCGAAAGUCCUCCGCCAGGUGGAGUUUUAUUUCAGUGACAGCAAUCUUCCGAGGGACAAGUUCUUGAAACAAAAGGUUGAAGAGAGCGAAGAUGGAUUGGUGAGUUUGUGGUUGAUAUGUUCCUUUGCUCGGAUGAGAACCCUUCUUGGAUUGGGUGAGGUGAAGGAGGAGGCGGUUCCGGAGGAGAAAGAAAGCGUUGGCGGUGGCGGAGACAUUGAGGAAGUCUAAUGUCCUUAAAGUAUCUGAAGAUGAUUGCCGCUCUUUUCACAUAUGGUUUGAAGAGUUUUGCAUUCAACAUUUUGGUGGGUAUUUUCAAAAUUUUGUAAGCUGAAUGUGUGGGGCCCGCAAUACACUAUAGCAACGCCUGUUUUUGAAGAGUUUUUUUCAGAUUGCCGCUCUUUUGAACAGAUGGUUUGAAGAGUUUUGCAUUUAACAUUUUGGUGGUUAUUUUCAAAAUUUUGUAAGAUGAAUGUGUGGGGCCCGCAAGAUACUGUAGCUACUCGUUUUUGAAGAGGUAUGUAGCAAGUUUGAUUACUUUUUCCACUUGGUUUUUCCACAUAUUGCCUCUUUUGUUUUUUUUGGUUAACCGUUUAUAUGUACAUGAGGUGUGAAGAGCAGAACCAUCUAUAUGUACAUGAGGUGUCAACUGCAGAAUUUUGCAAGUGGCUUGUGUGGGGCCCACAAAUUACUGUAGCGACGAUUGGUUUGAAGAUUUAUUCAAGAACUUUGAAUAAUUUUCUUUUCACAGAUUGCCAUUUAUUUUCUUUUUUUGUUUAAAGUUUACCAAUUUAUAUGUAUAUGAGGUGUAAGUUGGUGAGUUUGUAAAAGAAUGUGUGGGGGCUCAUGAAAUGUUGAAGAGCAGAUCCUGAUUUUGAAGAGGUAUGCAGCAAGUUUGAUUAUUUUUGCCACUUAA